rnacentral:misc_RNA from 1 species
GUGGAAACAAUUAUAAAAAGAAUAAUAGAUUGAGCUCAAAAAUAUGAGUAGACUAUACAGAAAGAAUGCUCCUACUGUCAGUAGAAGAGUUACAUUCAAUACACCUGUAAAAAACUGGAAGAAGUACAUUUAUUGGAAGAAUACAAGUUGAGACAAAGGUCAACGUCCGCAAUUAAGAGUGACAAGAAUUACCCAAGUGGAAAUUAACUUUUGCAAAAAUUGUAAAGUUUACUUCUAUGUGAUAGAGGACUAAAGGGCAAGAGAAUUCAAGUUACGGUGGAGAUUUAUUAUUGGUAAAUUGAAUUCUUAAUUAUUGGUAAAUUGAAUUCUUAACAUUGAAGAAAGUACAAUUAUAACCAAGUUGUAAUUUACUUGGUCAAUAUUGGUGCUUUAAGUCAAAGAAAGUUGAUAAAUGUGGGAUUUUCUAAAGUUGAUACUUGGUCAAUAGCUAAUAGUUAGCUAUUUAUAGUCAGCAAAUUCACGUUGUAAGGCGACUUUUAUAUGGCUAUAUAAAGGAGAUGAAUUCUCCAUUUGUAGUACCUUUUUUGUGAUGAGAAAAAUUAGUGAGAGAAAAGGUUGUGUGAGGCUUCUGGGGUGUAAUUGGGUUUGAGUGAUUUGUGAGUAAAAAAUAUGUAGUGUUUGUAAUUAUUUUUUUCGUAAUAGAAGAUUUGUUUGUGGUGUAGGUUUAUGUUGAAUCACUUUAAAUUUUGUUUUCUUUGAUUUGUGAGUUAUUUUCUUUAUAAAUUGUAACUGAUUGGGGGCAGUCA